rnacentral:lncRNA from 1 species
UUUUUACUUGGCGUAAAAUUUCUUCAAAUUGCAAAUGCAUUUUUCAGAUUUUCUGCCCCGAAUCAGCUGAAAUCAUGUAACUAAUGAUCGAGAAUGGUGGACUACUUUAAAUUAAAUCUCAAUAGUACUGAUAAAAUUUUAUAUGGCAGAAAAACAACAUACAUCAGAGAGUAUUCCAGCAAUUUUACCACAUUCCGUAAACAACAUAAAUUGUAUGAUGAGUAAACUUAAUUAAGCAACAGCUUGCACCUAGAAAAAUUAUUUUACAAUCUAACUCCUCCUUAGGCGAUAGUUUAGUCUCUAAACAGUGGUGGUGGUGGAGGAGAGAAAAACCUCCCUGUAUUAGCUGAAGGUGUUGGAGGGGCCAAGCCUUUCCUUGAUCCCUUUACUCCUUGUCCUGCAGUCUUGUAGUUCCUGGUAUCUGCAAAGACUAUAUAUGUAUAUAGCACAAAAUAAAUGUCACCUAUAAGAUCUUUUGUGAAUUAUGUUUUUGUGAAAAGAAUAUUGGCACACUUUAAUUAUAAGUACCUGAACUGGUGGUUUCGCCGUGGAAACCAACAAGGAGGAGAAAGGUGAUGAAGAAUACUAGUAUUGACCUUGAUGAUUCCAUUGUUUCAGAAUUAUUACUUGAGAUAAAUAAAGGGUUCGGUACUGUUGCCUGUUGGGUCGACUUAUAUAGAUAAAUAAACAUGGU